GGGGCUGGGGCUCAGCGGUAGAGCGCUCACCUAGAACAUGUGAGGCACUGGGUUCGAUCUUCAGCCCCA
rnacentral:tRNA from 1 species